UCGCGCCCGCUUGCACCAGGUGCCUGCCGUUCCGUUCAGGGCGGCAGGUUAAACGGGAAGCCGGUGAGGAGGGUCUGGACCACAGGCCCCGUCCGAUUCCGGCGCUGCCCCCGCAACGGUCAGCGAGGAGCGCACUGCACGACAGCCACUGGGCCUUGAGCGUCGAGAACAUCGACGCCAAGGGUCUGGGAAGGCGCAGUGGGCCUCCGAGGGCGUGUCACGCCCCUCGGCACUCGCGAGCCCGGAUACCGGCCUGGUGCGAUGGGAGCUG
rnacentral:ncRNA from 2 species